CUACGGGGUGCUGCAGUGGGGAAUAUUGCACAAUGGGCGCAAGCCUGAUGCAGCCAUGCCGCGUGUAUGAAGAAGGCCUUCGGGUUGUAAAGUACUUUCAGCGGGGAGGAAGGGAGUAAAGUUAAUACCUUUGCUCAUUGACGUUACCCGCAGAAGAAGCACCGGCUAACUCCGUGCCAGCAGCCGCGGUAAUACGGAGGGUGCAAGCGUUAAUCGGAAUUACUGGGCGUAAAGCGCACGCAGGCGGUUUGUUAAGUCAGAUGUGAAAUCCCCGGGCUCAACCUGGGAACUGCAUCUGAGACUGGCGAGCUUGAGUCUGGUAGAGGGGGGUAGAAGUCCAGGUGUAGCGGUGAAAUGCGUAGAGAUCUGGAGGAAUACCGGUGGCGAAGGCGGCCCCCUGGGCGAAGACUGACGCUCAGGUGCGAAAGCGUGGGGAGCAAACAGGAUUAGAUACCCCGGUAGUC
rnacentral:rRNA from 1 species